AAAUGAAUGAAAAGCCACUGAGGCAGCAGUAAGUUAUGAGAAGGCUUGUGCUGACUUCAAAAUUCUGGGGAGGCUUGCCUCAUUUAUGUGAACAGCCACAUCUCAUUUCAAAUAUUUAUUUAGCUAUCAAAAGUGCAGAUUAAGCCAAUAUUGCUUGAUAUCCAGUAUUAAAGUACAAAAUUAUAUACAGUU